rnacentral:rRNA from 1 species
AUUGAACGCUGGCGGCAUGCCUUACACAUGCAAGUCGAACGGCAGCGGGGGAGAAGCUUGCUUUUCCUGCAGGCGAGUGGCGAACGGGUGAGUAAUGUAUCGGAACGUGCCCAGUCGUGGGGGAUAACGUAGUGAAAAUUACGCUAAUACCGCAUACGAUCUAUGGAUGAAAGCGGGGGAUCGCAAGACCUCGCGCGAUUGGAGCGGCCGAUAUCAGAUUAGGUAGUUGGUGGGGUAAAGGCCCACCAAGCCAACGAUCUGUAGCUGGUCUGAGAGGACGACCAGCCACACUGGAAAGGAGACACGGUCCAGACUCCUACGGUAGGCAGCAGUGGGGAAUUUUGGACAAUGGGCGAAAGCCUGAUCCAGCCAUUCCGCGUGCAGGAUGAAGGCCCUCGGGUUGUAAACUGCUUUUGUACAGAACGAAAAGGUUUCUACUAAUACUAGGAGCUCAUGACGGUACUGUAAGAAUAAGCACCGGCUAACUACGUGCCAGCCGCCGCGGUAA